GGUGUCAGUGAAGAGCUUGAGGUAAAAUAUAAGGCGUGUUGUGUCGAAAAAUUAAAAUAAAUGCAGAUUCACAAGCACCAAGCGGUCGCGGUUGAAGAAACUCCGCCUUCGUUAAGCACCUUGGACGCUUGGUGAAGAAUUUCUUAAUCGCUAGCAAACGAUAAGAUUCGGCCUCGACUCAGUGGGUGCCAGGUUUGCAGUCAGAUUCGUCCCAACGCUCCAGAGUCCCAUCUUUAUGAGGUCUACUUUCACAGUUUCCCAGCUAACAAAUCCCCAAGAAGCAGCCGCUGAGCCGAAGCGUGAGA